UUUCCGUAGGUGAGCCUGCGGAAGGAUCAUUAUUGUAUACCCGAGAUGAGAGGCCUGUCGCUGACUCGAGAGCUCGUGCACACCCGAGUGCCCUCACACACAUCCAUCUCACCCCUAUGUGCACCACCGCGUGGGUCCCCCUUUGGCUUGUUCGGAGGGGGGCUUACGUUUUCACACAAACUUUGUAUGCAGUGUAGAAUGUAUUUUUUGUUUUUGCGAUCACGCAAUCAAUACAACUUUCAACAACGGAUCUCUUGGCUCUC
rnacentral:misc_RNA from 1 species